UCAAGUAAAUAUCAGAAAAUAACGCUGACACGUCCUGGGUGGCAUAAACUGAAAAUGUAGCAUAAAUGACAGAGCUGUUCCAUGAAGAAUAUCAAAUCAAAAGAAGGUCAUCCUAUCCAGCUCUUCUGGCCAACACCAAGGAGGACUGCCUGCAUAUGAACUCUUCAAAGAGGAGAAAUACAUUAGCUUCUGACACUGCAGACUGUGGGGCUCUACUGGCAUUUUGAUUGGAUGGCUUGACACACUGAAGUGCCUUUUGACAGCGUCUUAGAGGAGAAGCUAAAAAAAGAAGUGCAGUAGGUUGUCCAAAU